ACAGAGGGAUGCUACCGGGCGACCGGAUGCGGAUCUCGAAAGCCUGUCCCAGUUCGGACUGGAGUCUGCAACCCGACUCCACGAAGUUGGAUUCGCUGUAAUCGCGCAUCAGCCAUGGCGCGGUGAAUACGUUCCCGGGCCUUGUACACACCGCCCGUCAAGCCAUGGGAGCCGGGGGCGCCUGAAGUCCGGGACCGCGAGGACCGGCCUAGGGCGAAACUGGUAACUGGGGCUAAGUCGUAACAAGGUAGC
rnacentral:rRNA from 1 species